GAGAGCACAGUACGAUGAAAGUUGUAAGUUGUGUUCGGGGGGAGCUAUUGUCUGCCUUUAUGGUAGAAUCAGUCGGGCCCUGAGAGACGGUAGUUUACCCUGU